CGGGUGAGUAACGCGUGAGGAACCUGCCUCAAAGAGGGGGACAACAGUUGGAAACGACUGCUAAUACCGCAUAAGCCCACAGGUCGGCAUCGACCAGAGGGAAAAGGAGCAAUCCGCUUUGAGAUGGCCUCGCGUCCGAUUAGCUAGUUGGUGAGGUAACAGCCCACCAAGGCAACGAUCGGUAGCCGGACUGAGAGGUUGAACGGCCACAUUGGGACUGAGACACGGCCCAG
rnacentral:rRNA from 1 species